rnacentral:rRNA from 1 species
CUAAGAAUAUUCCGCAAUGGAGGAAACUCUGACGGAGCAACGCCGCGUGGACGAUGAAGGCCGGAAGGUUGUAAAGUCCUUUUAUAAUUGAGGAAUAACCGGGGCAGGGAAUGGCACCGGGGUGACUGUAGGUCAUGAAUAAGCACCGGCUAAUUACGUGCCAGCAGCCGCGGUAACACGUAAGGUGCGAGCGUUGUUCGGAAUUAUUGGGCGUAAAGGGCAUGUAGGCGGACCUGUAAGCUUGGAGUUGAAAUCCACGGGCUCAACCCGUGAACUGCUCCGGGAACUGCAGGACUCGAAUCGCUGAGGGGGAGCCGGAAUUCCAGGUGUAGGGGUGAAAUCUGUAGAUAUCUGGAAGAACACCAAUGGCGAAGGCAGGCUUCUAGCAGACGAUUGACGCUGAGGUGCGAAGGUGCGGGGAGCAAAC